AGUGAACGCUGGCGGUAGGCCUAACACCUGCAAGUCGAACGGCAGCACAGUAAGAGCUUGCUCUUACGGGUGGCGAGUCGCGGCCGAGUACGGAAAACAUCGGAAUCUACUUUUUCGUGGAGGAUACCGUAGGGAGACUUACGCUAAUACCGCAUACGACCUACGGCUGAAACCAGGGAAUCUUCGGCCCUUGCACGAUUGAAUGAGCCGAUUUCGGUUUAGCUAGUUUGCGGGGCAAAGGCCCACCAAGCCGACGAUCCGUAGCCGGUCUGAGAGGAUGAUCAGCCACACUGGAACUGAGCCACGCUCCAGACCACUACGGGAGGCAGCAGUCGGGAACAUUGGCUCAUGGGCUCAAGUCUGAUCCAGCCCUACCGAGUGCGUCAAGAAGGCCCUCGGGUUGUAAAGCCCUCUUGUUCGGACCGAAAAGCAGCAGGCUAACAUUCCGCCGUUCUGACGGUACCCAAAGAAUAAGCACCGGCUAACCUCGUC
rnacentral:rRNA from 1 species